rnacentral:rRNA from 1 species
UUGCUUCCUGGAUCAGUGGCGAACGGGUGAGUAACACGUGAGCAAUCUGCCCCUGACUCUGGGAUAAGCGCUGGAAACGGCGUCUAAUACUGGAUAUGAGCUGCGAAGGCAUCUUCAGCAGUUGGAAAGAAUUUCGGUCAGGGAUGAGCUCGCGGCCUAUCAGCUUGUUGGUGAGGUAAUGGCUCACCAAGGCGUCGACGGGUAGCCGGCCUGAGAGGGUGACCGGCCACACUGGGACUGAGACACGGCCCAGACUCCUACGGGAGGCAGCAGUGGGGAAUAUUGCACAAUGGGCGCAAGCCUGAUGCAGCAACGCCGCGUGAGGGACGACGGCCUUCGGGUUGUAAACCUCUUUUAGCAGGGAAGAAGCGAAAGUGACGGUACCUGCAGAAAAAGCACCGGCUAACUACGUGCCAGCAGCCGCGGUAAUACGUAGGGUGCAAGCGUUAUCCGGAAUUAUUGGGCGUAAAGAGCUCGUAGGCGGUUUGUCGCGUCUGCUGUGAAAUCUGGGGGCUCAACCCCCAGCCUGCAGUGGGUACGGGCAGACUAGAGUGCGGUAGGGGAGAUUGGAAUUCCUGGUGUAGCGGUGGAAUGCGCAGAUAUCAGGAGGAACACCGAUGGCGAAGGCAGAUCUCUGGGCCGUAACUGACGCUGAGGAGCGAAAGGGUGGGGAGCAAACAGGCUUAGAUACCCUGGUAGUCCAAGCCGUANACGUUGGGAACUAGUUGUGGGGUCCAUUCCACGGAUUCCGUGACGCAGCUAACGCAUUAAGUUCCCCGCCUGGGGAGUACCGCCGCAAGGCUA